GAGUGAUGAGCAGCGGGCCCUUCAUGUCUGCUGCAGUGCCGCCGCCUCGCGCGCUCCGGACGCACAGUGGAGCACACUGCUCCUGAACCUCCUCCCGCUCCUGCACCUCCUGCUGCUGCUGCUCCUGAACCUCCUGCCGCUCCUGCUCCUCCUCCGGUUCACUCUGCGCUCCGCGGGCCGGAUGGGGACGCAGGUCGCCGGGGAAACGCCGCUCUCAUGGCCGCCUCACGCGCGCCUCAAGCCCGCUGCGUGUGAGCGAUGAGCGUGCAGCGGCGGACGGACAGCAGG